GCUGUCUUAGCUCAAUCGGUAAAGCACAUGGUUUACGACCAUGUUAUUGUGGGUUCGACUCCCGCAGAUGGCA